rnacentral:rRNA from 1 species
CCAUCAGAAGGGGAUAACACUUGGAAACAGGUGCUAAUACCGUAUAACACUAUUUUCCGCAUGGAAGAAAGUUGAAAGGCGCUUUUGCGUCACUGAUGGAUGGACCCGCGGUGCAUUAGCUAGUUGGUGAGGUAACGGCUCACCAAGGCAACGAUGCAUAGCCGACCUGAGAGGGUGAUCGGCCACACUGGGACUGAGACACGGCCCAGACUCCUACGGGAGGCAGCAGUAGGGAAUCUUCGGCAAUGGACGAAAGUCUGACCGAGCAACGCCGCGUGAGUGAAGAAGGUUUUCGGAUCGUAAAACUCUGUUGUUAGAGAAGAACAAGGAUGAGAGUAAAAUGUUCAUCCCUUGACGGUAUCUAACCAGAAAGCCACGGCUAACUACGUGCCAGCAGCCGCGGUAAUACGUAGGUGGCAAGCGUUGUCCGGAUUUAUUGGGCGUAAAGCGAGCGCAGGCGGUUUCUUAAGUCUGAUGUGAAAGCCCCCGGCUCAACCGGGGAGGGUCAUUGGAAACUGGGAGACUUGAGUGCAGAAGAGGAGAGUGGAAUUCCAUGUGUAGCGGUGAAAUGCGUAGAUAUAUGGAGGACACCAGUGGCGA